rnacentral:rRNA from 1 species
CCUAGGGGAGGCAGCAGUGGGGAAUAUUGGGCAAUGGGCGCAAGCCUGACCCAGCGACGCCGCGUGAGGGAUGAAGGCCUUCGGGUUGUAAACCUCUUUCAGUAGGGAAGAAGCGAAAGUGACGGUACCUAAAGAAGAAGCACCGGCUAACUAUGUGCCAGCAGCCGCGGUAAU